UUUUUUUUUUUUUUAGGUUCCCAGCUCCUAAUGCAUGAUUAUUAAAGCAGGGGGCAAGUUAAUAUUUGUUGACUAAAUUAAUGAAUCAUGUAACUUUGUUUUGGAAAAUGUUUCUAGUUAACCCAACAUUUAAUUUUCAUUUUAUUUUUUGCUUCCUUUCCCUUCUGUCUUCAUAGCAUGAAGAAAUCACUACAAAGAAGGCAAAUUUUAAAUUGUGUUAGUAAUAAGUCUUGAACCACAAGGAUUACAGCUUGUUCUUUAUAUUACAAUACUGCUUCUAAACCACAAAUAGGUUUAAUUUUGAGUUCAGCAAUUCCUUAGACCUGAAUGAUAACAACACCAUUUGCCCAGGGAUAAUAGCAGAUUUUGACAGCUUUUCAUUAAUACUGAAGAAUCUUGUGGGUCAUAGGAUUGAACAUUAAAAUAGAAAUUGCCCCUAGCAUUAAAAUAGAAAUAACUUUCUUGUUCAAUGCUAGAACAAAGGGGAAAGCUGGGGGUAGAUGGAAGGAUGGGGACAGACCACAGCUCGGCUUUGCACACACCAGCUCCCAUUUCUCUAACUUGGCAGGGGUGGAGCACAAUAACAUCAGUCCACGCUGCUGUGAGUGUGAAAUCUGUGAACAAUAAAGUUGACCCAGCUUUGUCCAUCUACUUUCUGUGGCAGGAAGGCUAUUCUUUUUAUUUUUUUUAAGGUUUGUUUAUUUAUUUGAAAGGCAGAGUUACAGAGAGACAGAGGGGGAGAGAGAGAGAGACAGAGAGACAGAGAGAGAGAGAGAUCUUCUAUCCACUGGUUCACUCCUCAGUCAGCCACAAUGGCCAGAGCUGCAUUGAUCUGAAGCCAAGAUCUAGGAGCUUCUUCCGGAUCUCCCACAUGGGUGCAGGGAGGGGCCCAAAGACUUGGGCCAUUAUCUACUGCUUUCCCUGGCCAUAGCAGAGAGCUGGAUCGGAAGUGGAGCAGCCGGGACACGAACCAGUGCUGAUAUGAGAUGCUGGCACUCCAGGUGGCAGCUUUACCAGCUAUGCCACAGUGCGGCCCCAGGAAGGCUGUUUGGGUCACCAUUACCUUGACGUUCUCUCAGGGACAUGGAGAAAUGUUUAGUAAGUGCACAUUGAACACCUGCUAUGGCCAGACUGAGGACACUGGGGCUCUGAAAAGUUAAAUUUCUUAACUAGAAAAUUCCAGUAUUUUGAUUGGAAUUUAGAUCUUCCAUCAUUCUAUCCUAUACCUCAACUUGAUAUUCUCCACCCCCAAACCUGAUUGUCAUCCAAUUAGUCUGUAGUGGCAUAGCAUAAUAGAGAUGAGUCUCGGAAAUGGAUGGGUCUGUCCUGCUCUGGGAUCCACUAACCUGGUGACCCUGUACUACAGUUUUCGUCUCUGGAAAAUUAAGAUAAUAAGGGUUAGCUCAUAAGGUUGUAUUAUAUUUAUGCAGUGCCAAUGACACUGACUCCAUGUCACAUAUUCUUUCUUUCUGUGUUUGGAAUACUUGAAAUUCACACUGCUUAGCCACUUACAUUCAGCUUCACCAUUUAAAAUUUGGGUCCACUUGAAAGCUUCAUGGGAACAUUAUGUCAUUUGCCUAUGAGUAUGCUUUGUAGAAACUUAUUUGGAGACCUCAAAUGUCAGAGGGAGGAGAGUAGUUGUCUACUCAUUUAGUCCAAGCCCUUGAUUUUUUUUUUGUUUUAUAUAUAUUUAAAAGCAGAAAUUCUGCUUGUGAAAUUUUGCUCAGUUUAGUCACAUAGAGGUUUUAUUAGUGAAAGUUUAAUUAUUUGGAGAAGUUUACAAUGGAUACUAUGUUCAGCUCAGAUUUUAGCCCAGAGCUAAAUUCUUGUUUACAUUUGAAAAUGGAAAGUAAAAUGAGUGCUGAUGAAAGGCAGAUUCCAAGAUAAAAUAUGCAAAUUCAAACACAAAAGGAAAUGUGAUGCACACGGCAUCACUGUGUGAUUAUGCAUUGGGUUGGAUACUGGGAAAUGUUUAAGAAGAGGCAGUGGAGUCACUCUUAUAGAGCUGUUAGUAUGAACAAUGGCUGACAGAAGGCAUAUUAGCCACCCUGGGCUUGCCAUUUUGUGUCUUCUUUGUCUUUGCCUCUACCUCUCUGGCUCCUUUCAGAUUUGUCCACCCACCACUGGCCUCUUUGCAAACGAGAAGGCCUCGGGCUUUCUCUGCUUAGUGUGGGAUUCUCAGUAACUCUUCUGUACAAAGAUUUAGAUUAGAAAAUAAUGAGCUGAUUUCAUUCAGAUUUUAUAAGGAGUUAGAUAGUAUUCAAAUAUGACAGAAAUAUGCAGGUGUUUGUCAUGCUUAAUUAGUGUUACAUAAAAUUUUCAUUCUUUUGCUUGGAGAUUGGUGAAUUUUCUCUAUGUUAAAUGUUUGUUAUUUCUUUAAGUAUGUUAGUAACUUUGUAUUACACUGUAUACCAAGAGGAAAUUUCAGUUCAUGUGACCACAUCUUGGGCACUAUCCAAUGGAAUGAAUUAUGUUCAUACUCAAAUCAUGUGACAUUGUUGAUUCUGACACUUUUGUCUACAAAAAUGCUAGUUCACUAAGGUUCAAUAUAAUUUAUAGAUUCAGCCCACCCAUUUCUUUCCUUAGGCUAAAUUUACUUUGUCCAAAGUCCACAAUAUGUAUAGCAUAUAUUAGACACUUAAUGUUUAUUUUUUGAUUGAAUAAAUGGCCAGGAGUUGAUAUGAGUGACACUUUAGGUGGGUUUUUGAGGCAUUUGGUCCACCUCUAUACUAUGCAAUGAAAGUAAAAUAUUUUCCUUUUGAAUGAGGCUGAGAAGGCUAAGCAGAAGGGUUAAUGUACUGGUUAACCAGGCUUUUCCUCGUAUGUGUAAGGAGGACAUAUGGUGGGUCACAGAGGUCAAGAAUUUGGUAAGGCAUUUGAAAAGUAAACAGUUGAGAAGGUGAAAAGUGUAUCUGUUCUGAUCUUGGGCGGUCUAAGCCAAUAAACCUAACUAGUCUUUGAAAUGGUAUUUCCCUUUCUUCCUGGAUUGUGAGAGAGAGAUUUUACAUGACUGAUGGGAGUGCCCGAUUAGCCACUUGCUAGACAGUCUAAAUUUCUGCUCCAUUUAAUUCAGGGGUUCCCAGCUCACAUAGGGCUUGCAGGUGGAUAGGACAGUGUCUGGGGGCUUUGCCAUGGGUGAUGGGACUGAAGCUGGACUCCAGAGUCCUGAAGAGGCCGAUGCUACAGAAGGGAUGUAUCCUAAAGAGAGACUCACAGAAGCUUUGGAAAGAUCACAGAAUUCAGCUCUUUAGAAAUGUAGACUGGCUUUUCCCAUAAUCACCUGUGCUAGCGACACACUGUACUCCAGGUAUUGCAAACAUUCCUGACAGCAAUGCUAAUACUGUCUGUCCCCUCGCUCUCUGUGUCAGUUCCCAUUGCUAACUUUAGAUGCUUUGCUAUGCUCCUCCAUGCAUCUGUGCACACGGAUGGGAGAAUCUUAGUCAACCUGUACAUUUUGAAAAUAUAUUUGCAUGUGAUACGAGGCUCACCACGACUUUCUUGUUUUCAUUUCCUGAUAACUCAAGCAUUAUCCUCAGCAGCAAACUUCCCAAGGGCUCCCUGGUGUAUGUAGUCUUCUUGCCAGCUGCAGAGUAUAUGGAGCUGUGAUCCCAGGGCAUGUAAGAAGAUCGGAAUGCCAAGGCAGUGAGAAAAUAUACAUAAAAACAAAUUGGUAUAUCCCCAAGAGUGCUAUAAAUGUCACUUGUGAUUAUUACUAUGUUAAGUGCCAAAUGACUGUAACAGUCCCAGUGGGGAGGGGCCCUGUGGUCCAGGAGAGGUGGCUGUGAAUAAGUUGCAAAUGGAAUAAAGUUGUGUUUAGGAGGCAGCAGAGAUGUCAUUCUUAGCUAGUAAGAGUUGGAACGGCCGCCAGAGACCCUCACGUGCAAAGUCUGGGAGAUUGCAGGGAGGCCACACUUGUUGACAUACAGGGAAGAAGUCUGAAUUCUUCAGCCUGAUUGUGAAUUCAGAGUCAGUUGUUUGAGUUAAAGAAAAGAUCUAGGCGGUUAGCUCACUGGGACAGGACUGCUAGGCAGCAUUCACUGAGCACUUACUACGUGCCGAGCUUACCACAGUGUGCUUUACAUGCAUUGCUUCACUCUAGGGCCCCAUUUUAUAAAUAGGGACCACAGAUUAAAGUAUAUUCCGAGUGGAGCAGGUGGUCAGUGACAAAGGAUUCAAAUGUAAGUGCCCUGAUCCCCGCACCUGGGCUUCUCACCCAAAGCUGUCAGAAAAAUCUAAGAAGAGGACAUUGUGUGAUCACGUGGUGGCUAGUGGCUCCGAUGCCGGUUGCUUUGGUUAAUGAACUUCCCGAAGAAUCCUCACUCUACCCCUGAGUUUCCUCGUGUGCGCACUGAGAACAGUAAUAAGGACGCUAUCUUAUGGAUUGGUGGCCAUGAGGGUUUGGUGGGAUAACCAGGUUGCUUGACUGCUGUGAGUUUAGAGAACUUCUCAGCCUUAACUCAGUUUGCAUGACAGAAGUAAGGGGUGGGCGUUUGGCACAGCAAUUAAGACGCUGCUUGGGAUACCCAUAUUCCAUAUCAGUGCACCUUGGUUAUGAGUCCUGGCUCUACUGCCUAAUCGAGCUUCCAGUUAAUGUACACCCAGGGAGGCAGAAGAUCAUGGUUCAUAUACUUCCAUCUCUGCCACACACUUGGGAAACCCAGCUGAGUUUCAGGCUCCUGGCUUCAUCCUGACCCAGCCUUAGCUGUUGCAGGUAUUUGAGGAGUAAACCGGCGGAUGAGAGAUCUCACUUUGUCUCUGUCUCUCUUUGCAUUUCAAAUAAAAUGAAAAUAAAUAAAAAGCUUUUGAAAAUAGAACAAAAGAGAGUAAUCUUAGAGAUAUUAAGUAGUUUGCUCAAGUACUGAAUUGUGAUUACAACGAAUCAGUCUUUGUAGGAAUAAGAGCUGUCUUCUCUACACCAGGCAAUCAACUAAAUUAGAAUACAUUGUCAUGACAAAAUUCAACCAAGAUUUGCUUUUUUUUCUUUACGAUUUUAUUUUUUUAUUUGAGAAAUAGAGUUAGAGAGAGAGAGAGAGAGAGAGAGAGAGAGAGAGAUGGGUGAGAAAGGUCCCCAGAUGGCUAGAGGUGAGCUGAGCUGAUCUGAAGCCAGGAGCCAGGAGCUUCUUCAGAUCUCCCACUGGGUGCAGGGGCCCAAGCACUUGGGCCAUCUUCCACUUCUUUUCCAGCCCAUAGCAGAGAGCUGGGUCAGAGGAGGAACAGCCAGGACAUGAACCAGAGCCCAUAUGAGAUGCUGGUGCCACAGGUGAAGGUUUAGCACAUACACCACAGCGCUGGCUCCAAGAUUUGCUUUUGAAAUAAUUAAGAAAAGCAUUUUAAAGUACCCCUGCUUCUUUUAGAUGAAAAAUAAACACAGUAGUAUUUAUCUUUGAGUGAGCGAAUAUGUGUGUGUACAGUCUGUUUUGUUUUUGACAAGUAAUUAUUUAGCAUUAGCUAUUCUCUUUCUAUUAUUAAUAUAGCUUUCAUUCAUUUUAAAAUAAAAGUGAAUGUCAGGUUUCAAAACACAUAAUUUUAUAAACUAUAUAUUCCUAUUCCUAAGCCAACAUUGAUGUGUUAGGUUUAUUCAACAACAUGCAAACAAGUUUGAAGAUUCUCUGUGAUCUCACAAUGAGUAGCAUUAUGUCUAUUCUUUUGGUUGAUCCCUCUUGCUUUCAGAGGCCCCAAGGAAGCAGGCUGGUAGGGAGUAUCCCCUCUGCUGGCCUGGCCACUUUCCAUUCAGGAGCAUGAGUGGGCUGGGUGGACAUGAGCAGGAAUCUCGAGAAGGCGACAGUUCCUGUUAAUACCCAUUCUCUCUCCUUGCUCAAUUCCAAAGUUCCCACACACCACACAGAAACAGAGAGCUAUGCCUGCAUGGACCAGAAUGAAAGAUGGACUCUGCCCUCCUGAAAUCCGGUUCUGUCCUUGCUGUGUCACACUGACUCACCAGUGACCAUUGGAAGAGGGAAGCGCUGAUUGCCUGGCAUCCUCUUCCCUUACUUCCAUUGAAUUUGUUUUCUGGUCUGUUCUCAUGUAUUUAUUUUCCCUUGACUUCUGCCCUAUUACUACGUUGCAAUAAAUUAUUUUAAGUAGUUUUUUAAAAAUAAAAUUAAAGGAAUACACAUGGCAUUUCCUCUUUUAAUGUUCAGACUCUUUACCAAUUCAUGUUGUCUUAUUGAUCUCUAUUAAUUAUAUAAGUUUGUAUUUGGAACAUUUUUCGUAUUUAAAGCACUUGCUGGUUUUAUAAUUUGGAUAAAUUGAAAUGGCAGAGACUGUGUACAUGAUUACUGUUACCCUUGGUAGUUCGACAAAAGCAUGUUGUGUGUCUGCAAGCACGUAGGAUGGCAGAGAGCGGUGAUCUGCAUGGAAGGAUCCCUUUUCUCGGGGUUUGUCUCUGAGACCCGAGAGGCUCUUUGUUAGGAAGAGAGGGGAAGAUUGUGGCCUUCUCAGGGCACCAAAUAGAAGAAAAAAGAGGCACAGAACAGAGAGGAGACAGAAUAAGAACUCGCAGCCAGACCGAAUUUAUUCAGAGAACAUGAAUCCACAGAAGUGGACCAACUGCCAUCAUGCUCACAGAGCCAGCAAAGGGGAAAAUAGGAAAGCAAGAGUCCUGUCCGGUUAGUGGGAAGACAGGUGUGUGCCUGGGUGCCAGAGGGAAAGGACGCUCCCAUUUUGUUCAGUGGGCACGUGCUGGCUGGGAGCCAUGGGAUGGAGUCAGUCUGAUCUGCUUCUAGUCCUGGGCUCCCUCAUUUCCUCCCUCUGCUUAUGGAAACCCUGGUUGCUGUCAGGGGUUUGGGUGAGGACUGGAGCUGAGUUCUUCCAGCUGAGUAGAGGACGCAUGGUCAACACAGGGUUCCAGCAGGUGGCCUCUUGAGGGGGCUGCUGCACUAGCUCACAGAUACUGUCUGCAUUCAUGGUUUUAUUUCCUGGAGCAAACAAAUCUAACAAGCAGAUUAAAUACACGGGGUCUAAAACUAAGGACAGAGUCAUUACUAGAGGACCUAAGAAAGGUGCUGUCCAAACCAGGAGAGAUUUUUCCCAUUGAAAGGCAAACAGAAACUGACAGGUGGGAUUUCAUAAUAAUCAGGUGGGCAUUAAGACUUGCCAAGGUAAAUGUGAUGUCCAGACCUGUCUAUCUCUUCACAUGGGGUUCUGGAAGAGACAUCAUAAGGGAGGUGUGAACCUUCUUAGGGAAGGCACCUGUUGGCUUCCAUUACCUGGCUGGCCUGGGAAGAGAGUUGGCCUGCAAUAGGAGAUUAGUAUUGAAUAGGCGGCAUCUCUGAAAGCAGAUGUACAGCUCUACCUAGAUUGUUACUGACCCUAGGCUGUCCUCCUGCUGGCAGUGGUUACUCUGGAAGCUGGGCAGAGUGAAGGGCUUUUUCAGCUUGGGGCCAUCAGGGUCUGCAGCUCUGACCCAGGAGUCCUCCAACCCCCAAGGCAGUUCCAUUUCCAGUGGCCUUGCUCUUGGAAGAGCUGACAGCUGCUUGCCCAAUGCCCUGACUCCUCAUAUGGAAAACAGGUGCCAUUUCGGGGUGGACUGGCCUUGUUGGGUCUCCUUGAUGGCAGAUCACCAUGUAAAGGAGCCAUUAAAUGGCCUGCCACCUAUCCUUACAUUGUUCCUGAUGCCUCGCUCCUCUUUCUCCUGGUCUUUGUUAAAGAGGAACGCAGAGGAAGCCUUUAGGAAUCUCAGACAAGGGUGCACUCAAUCCUGUCCCUAAUCUUUGGUGGCCUGAGCUAGAAAUCUGUAGUCACAGGCAUGUUAUUACAAUAUUCUUACUGUUAGAUAAGAUGAUGCCCAUGAGGAAAAGCUAUGCCCUUCUAGGUGAGAUAAAACAUUAAGACCACCUUAUCCAGUCUGUCUUAUAUAAGGUCUAAAAAUCAAACUGUACAUCCUGAUGGAGAGUUCUAUAGAAUAGAAUCCAUUUUCCAUCUUGGAGAGAAUAGAGGAGAAAUGAGAAAACAAGUCAAGCUUCCCAAAUUGCCUACUUUCAAUAACUUAAUAUCAAAUGAAAACUUUAGUAAAUAAUUUUAGCUGUCAAAUAACUUAGAAAAGCAUUUACCAAAAGGUCCAAUGCCUUCCAUAAAUUUUAUGAGUACAUGUAGUUGGAAAUAUUUCUUGAAUAUCUAAAACAAAUGUAAGCCAAUUAAAACAAAGCUGUUAAUAAAUUUUCCAUGUAGACAUAUAAUAUGUGCACACGUAUAACAUUACAGGAGAAAACAACAAAGCAGUGUCAGUUAUUAGCAGAGAUUUUGUCUGCAACUACAAAAGGCAGAGGUAAAGAUAGAAGAAGGCUAGGCAUGGGGCAUUCUCUGGGGCAGAGUUGCUCAGAACUUACCACUGUUCUUGAGUUUUCCUUUGCUGGCCCUGCCAUGUAUAUUGCUGGAGAUCUGGACCAGAGAUGUUGUCUUUGGGUGAGAUGUUAGGUUUUAGGAUUUUAGUGUUUGUAGACAAAGAGGAGGUGGUUAGUUAAAGAAGACCUUAUUUUAGGGAAGACAGAAUGGAUAGGGGGAAAGGAGGAGUAUGGACCGAGCUCACCCUGACAGGACAGAGGGCUGGGGUGGGGGUGAGUGUGUUGAUGUCAGACUUUAUUGUAUUUGAACAGCAAGCAUAGUCCUUUCUGGAUCUGCUUGUUUGGGGAGGUGCAGAGCAUCACAUGUACCCUGAUAAGGUGGGCAGAAAACGUGAGAAAGGCUCCCGGGUAGGGUGAAUGUCCCAGGUGUGGGACUUCCCAGAGCAGUAAACAUUCUGCUAGCCCAGAGGAGAGAGUGACAGAACCAGGGAGGGAGCUCAGGAAGAAAGGAGAGAGGCAGUUCUGGCUGCUGGUGAGUUGAGGGUGGGGAAGAGCCAGACCUCUGACCAUUUACCGUUUCUCUGUGUAAAGUUAUUAAAAUCGUAGAGAAUUUUGAGACAAAAAUGGCAAAUUAGAAUCUUUUCCAAUUUAUAUUGAGACCAUAUUUCACUGCAGAGAUAGAUUAAUCCCUCCCCUUUACUUUCCCCUACAGGUCUAACGCACAAGUCUUUUAAGGGGUAGGCCAGAAGGGAGUUGAAAUUUGGAAUCUGUGGAUUAUGCAAAAUUGGCUUGAGGGAAGGGAAGGGGGUUCUUUUACAGGGCAUCCCCCCAAAGGAAAGAAUAACCACAACCAACAACCUAAGUUCUGGGUCCUCUAAGAGGAGAGAGGUAGAAAUCCCCAUGCUAAGUUCUGGGUCCUCUAAGAAGAGAGAGGUAGAAAUCCCCAUGCUUAGACCAGCGUCCCAGUUCUAAGUGAGGGAAACUGACCCAACAUCCCAGGCCAUAUGAAGGGGGAUGAACCAGUCACAAGCAUUGCCCCAGUGAGGUGAGCGAGACCUCUCUUACCAAUCUGAUAGGUUGAGAAUUAGGUCCAAUAUGGGCAGGUAGCAAUGAGAUCUGACAAAGGCUCUGGCUGUGAAUUUGUUGGGAAAUGAGAAGUACAAGCGGGAAUGGGAAAGUGUUCUGGAGAGACAUCUCCCAGGGCUACCAAGGUCAGAAGGGAAAGAGGAGAUUGUAGGAAAGAGAAAAUAAGAAUGAGCAGAGACAGUGAAAAGGGAAAGCAGUUAACAAAGAAGAAAGUUUGGAGGAAGGGUGGGGGAAAUCAUACAUCUUACCCAGAGACCUGGUCCUCCAUGCCCCUCCUCACAUGGGACACCAUAAAUGUUAGGAAAAGAGUGCAGAUUGGUGCUGCCUCACCUGGGGCACUGAGUGUAAGAAAAAGGUGUGCAGAACAGAGAGGAGACAGAAUACGAACUUGCAACCAGACCAGAUUUAUUCAGAGUAAAUAAAUCCGCAGAGGUCGACCAACUGCCAUCACGCUAACAGACUGAACAUGUAGCAGAGGCCGAGAUCCCAACAGGCUGGGCCCUUUCCUAUCUUGAUUGGGCUAGGGGUUGGGGUGUGAGGCAGUAGUUGCAGAUCAGCUUCUCCAUACUGGCUCUUCAGGUUUGGACCAAUGGCUUUGGGAAGAAUGCAGGGGGAUGGGUGGGGGACAAUACAGGGUGUGAGAUGGAACUGAUCUCUUGAAAGAAGGCAGGGGUAACAAGAAACCUAAAAUGGCUGGGGCUUAAGUCCUUGUUCCAUCACUCUUGGGUCAUAGCAUUCCCAUUGUAGUCUGGGAAGCUGUUAGGAGGUGUUAGAGGGGGCUGGUGAUAUGAUCUGAUGAUACGGGUAUUAGUAAAGACAGAGAAGGAGAGGAGUGAUGUUGUAGAAUACUUAUUUGGUCUCCAUCUGGUUUCUUGAAUCCCCCUCUGGAGUAAUGAAUGUCUUUGGAUGCUAUGGAGAUGACUGGGGGGCGACAGCUCCUGAAGAGCCUCUAGGGAAUGACUGGUUGCUGCAGGAGCCAACCACGUAGCUGUAAGGAUGGAAUUUUCACCACUUCCUCCACAAAGAGGGACUGAAGGUUGAGUUGGUCACCAAAGGACAAUGAUGUAAUCAGAUGUGUAGAGCAAAGCCUCAAACAAUACCUAACAGGGCAAAGUUUGCAUAGCUCCUGACAUACAAACAUGCACAGGUGCUCAAGGAGUGGUCUAGCAAGAAAGGGCACGCAUGCUACCUUGCUCUCUGAAUCUCUUCAUCUGUAUACUCCUAACAUCCUUUUUAAUCAACCGGUAAGCAGAGAUAAGGUGUUCUCUGAUUUCAGUGAACCAGAUUAAUUGAACCCAAUAAGGGACAACUGGAAAGCCUGACUUGUAGCAAUCAGAAGUACAGGUGUCUAAGACUUGUGACCAGCAUCUGAGGUGGGGGCAGUCUAGUGGAACUUACACCUCAACCUGUGGUUUUUGACAUUUACUGUCCAUCAUUGAAAAUGAAUUAUAAGGGGACCCAGCUGGACAAAAGCUGCUACAGAUUUGAUUGCUUACUUGUUGGUGAGGAUAAAACCCCACAAAACUCCAACCCACACAUUUUGGUCACCAGAGGUUGCAAGAUGACUGUUUUAUUGACAGUAGAGAAAAGGAAAAACACAGAACUUUGGUUCUUCUUUCUAUCUCCUAAGAAUUAGAAGUUCACAAAUCUAUAGUUCACAAAAUCUAUUCAUCCAAUGCAGCUGGCUUUUUAGGAUGGGGAUUGCUAUGGUUUGAAUAUGUUUUGACCCUCUAAAUCAUAAACUAAUAGUCUUAGUGGAAACCUAAUUUAAUUGUGGUAUUUAGAGGUAGGGGCUUUGAAAAGUGAUUAGAUAAGAAGUCACUAUAAUGGAGCCCCCAUGGUCUUUCGAAAGACCACAAAGAUAUAGAGAUGGACACAUGUGUUCCCUCUUUCUCACCAGGCAACUCUCUGUCUUGGACUCUGUCAACAAGAACAUCAUCACCAGAGGCUGAACUGAUUAGUGGUGAAUGCCCAGUCUUGGACUGUGAACCACCCAAACCAUGAGCCAAAAUAAGUCUCUUUUUAUUCAUAAUGUUUGGCUCCCUCAGUUAUUUCUCUAUAGUGGCCAAGAGCUGAGAAACAAAUAAUAAGUUUUAGAAGAAAGAGGAUGAGGAAGGUCCAAAGUAGAGGAAGAGUUUAUAUGCUGCUUAAAAGCUGAAAUACCUGGGCCCUGUUCUUCCUUUAAGCCAGCUGGGAGAGUUGUCACAAUGUUUGUAGCACCUUUGUGUGGAUAAACUUGGGCCAUUGUGCUAGAGGAGUUUGGGAAAAGAUUUCUUGGAAAUUUUACAUUUAUUAACAAAAUAUCAGUAUAUCAAGAAUGAGAAUGAGAACAGAAACAAUAGCUACCCCUGGAGUAUUUGAUCUAGUCUGGCCAAAAGGCAAAGCUAUUAUAUUUUGAAAAAAGAGGAGAGAUUAGCUCCUAAGUUGCUAUAUUCAAGAACCAUUCCAGUUUCAGGCAAGAUUUAUUUUGCUUAAUGUCUCUCCUUUUAUAGAAGCCAGACCUUUCCCUUCACUGGCCUCUGCAAGCCUUAACUUAGGUUAUGACCACAAUUUAUAUGAUAAAAGGGCUGUAAAUGCAAAAUUUAGGGGGAGUGAUUUUUCUUAAAUGCAUAAAGCUUUGAAAAAUACAACAUAGAUUAUAGGUAGAAACUGAAUUGAAGUUUUUAGAGGAAUAAAGACCUACCAAGUCAUCUUUUCAUUGCCUAGAGCAAACUAAACAAUUUCCCAGGGUCUGCAAGUCUUAUCUGAUUCAUUAUGUGACUAAGUAGACUGCUUCUUAUUUUACUUGGUUAUGCUUAUUUAAAAUAUUGUAAUUCAUCACUGUUAAAAUUAUUACUUUAUGCUUAUUCAGCCUUUUAUAGAGUCUGUCUUUAAAGUUUAGAAAGUGUUUCUUUCACAAGGAAAAAAAAUCUAUCUUAACUUUAGGAUGAUUUUUUUUCCUUAAAUUCAAGUUAUCUUUGGUUAGCAUUAAAUUUCUGCAGUACCAACUGUCACCACCAGGCUCAGCAGACAGACUUGUUCAGAGUUCAGUUUGCAGGGUGAGUGCAGGACUGAUUUGAACUACUAAUAUGUCAGUGAUGGCCUUACCUGGUUUCCUUCUGUCUUUAUAUUUUGUUGUGUGAAUCUUAAUUAGAACAUGGACUCUCCUUUUAGACACAAUAUGGAUGCUAACAAAUGGCGAUGGUUAUAUCUGGAGAGAGGUGGAAGGGUCUAUUUCAUGACCAAUGAACAAUUUGGCCAUUUAUCUGUUCAUCAGUAUCAGCAGAGUCAAUCACUGGACAGUGAGGGUGGGCCCAUGUUGAUGCACUUUGGGUAGGCAGAGCUCCUUGCUGGAGUUAGAGGUGAGAUCAGACUCACCCAAUCUAAUACUCAAAGUUGGGAGAGCUGGAGUGGAUUCAGAUGUGGGACAAUUACUGCACUCAGUGUAGCCCUUUAUCCCUGCCUUCCUUCAAGCUGUGGUAGUGGAAGGAUUCUGACAGUCAAGUAUUCUCUGUUCCACAAUUCAUACUUUCUUGCUCUGUGCUCAGGGAUGCUUAUGGAAUAAAAUUGCAGCUUCCUACCAUGGGAGUAGGGGAACCUACUGCUGUCCCAAGGAAAUUGCAAGAGAUGUGAAUCGAAAAUAAUGCAGGUAUGAGGACCUCAAUUAGGACUAAGAAACCACACUUUGACUGGCAUUCAAAAUUCACAUAAGUCAAAAUACAGCAUUGAAAUGACCUAGCCACGAUUUGGUGAUUUGGGUAAUACAAAUACAUAUGUGUGCUAGUGUGUAUAUGUGUGAAUAUGAUUGUGUGCAUGUGUGUAUUUACAAAGGGAUUAUCGCCUAAUAAAUUCAUUGUGAGCUAAAAGUAUUGCAUGUCAAGAAUGAAUUGAAUACAGCCAACCUACUGAGUGUCAGAGCUUAGCAACACAGCACAGCACUGUAGAGCACUGAAGGUUUCCCUCACAACCACAGGGUUGGCUGGGAGGUGCGACUGCUGCUUCUGCCCAGUAUAUUCAGAAUAUUAUCUUGCAUAUUACAAUCCUGGGGAAAGCGUCACAAUUUGAAGUAUGAGUUAUUUCGAAUAUGUAUCACUUUUAUACCAUCCUAAUUUUGAAAAACAUUCAAUUGAACUCUCAAAAGUCAGGGAUUGUUUAUAAAAGGGCACUUUAAACAUUUCUUGGGAAAAGUAGAAUUAAAAAAGAAGUUUAUUUCAGUGCAAAAAACUUUCAAAAUCAUAUAUAUGACUUUACCAUAUAUAUGAUAAAAUUUCAACCUAGGAAGGAGAGAGUUGGCCAAUGAUUCUUUAUCUUCCACUGUUCCACAAAACAUUUAGACCCUUUUGGAUCUUGGUUUGUAGUUGUAAAGUUGCUUGUAGUUCUACUCAAGGGCUGGUGAUGUUCUGAGUGGAGGGAGUAAUGAAUGUAGAAAGGGAAAGCUGAACGGGACUUUGAAGCUGACCUCCUCUGGUUUUCACAGUCUGAGGCAUAGGGAUAGAUGCUGGGAAACAUUGAUUACUUAUGCAGGGACUCCAGCUUCUAAGGGGGUGUGAUUUGAAUUGCACAUUAUACUGUCUACUUCUAAGUGUUUUCUUAGCUACAUUUGGUUCACAGUGUUGGGAAGACUUGCUGAUUGUAUCUUCUUUGUCAAACAGAACGAUUUGGAUCUUUUUUUAGUUUCCUUAUACAAAAUUUUGGCAUUAGAAUGUUGCCAGUGAUUCUGUUUUUUAAUUUUUAAAAUGUAUUUAAAGGGAACACAUUUCAUAUAUAGAGUUGUAAGAGAAUAAUGAUAUUUCCAAUGAAUAGGAAAUUGGAAUGUGAAACAUAAUGAGAUGCUAAAUUUUUUUGCAUUAAAUAUUAAGAUCUUAAAUAUAACCUUUCCUCCUUGCAUUGUUGGGAGUGCUACUGCUGUGCAUGAUAGGAGGAGAAUUAAUGCAUUUUAAGAACUUAUUAUUCAUGGGGUAAGUGUUAUACAUAUCAAUUAAGACACCAUAUUGGAGUACUUAGGUUUGGUUUCCAGCACCAAUUCCUGACUCUGGCUCUCUGCUAAUGCAGACCCUGGGAGGCAGCAGUGAUAGCUCCUGAUAAGUACUCAGGAGACCUGGAUUGUGUUUCUGCCUCCUGACUUUACCUUUAACCCAGCCCUGGCAUUGCAGGUAUUUGGGGAGUGAACAGUGGAUAGAAGUUCUCUCUUUGUCUGUCUGUCUCUGUUUCUUCACCUGUUAAAUAAAUAAAUAGAUAAAAUUUUAAAGAAUUUAUUGUCUGCAAUUUGUUCUAAUCUAGAUUGUCAGUGAUAAUUAAGGUAAGUGCAUAUAAAUGUACUUUGAAUAAAAACUGUAAAAUCAGUGGGUAUGUUAGGUACAAUGAUAUGUGACUGACUGGCAGCAUCCUGGGACUGAGCCUUGUAAAUCCGCAGACUCAGGGGCAACAUUGCCUGUCCUUCUCUGCACUCCCUGUUGGAAGGUAAUGGUGAUGGUUGCUCUUUCUCCUUACCCUCAAUAUGCAGCAGUAUAUAAUCUCCAUGGCCAGGAUAGCUUGGUCAUUGAAUACAGUGGAACAGGGGAUGUGGAAUGAAUGAGUGAGUGCAUCAGAGGAGGCAGUCAUUGGCUUAUUGACACCAGAGGCCCUGAUGCCAGGAAAUGAAGAUGAUUUCAGGUCAUGCAGACAGCAUUGAGCUUCACAAGUACACUUGGGUUUCCUUGUACCUUGGAUUAAGGAGGCACAGUCUUCUCAUGAUCUGCAGGGGUUAAUUACUGCUACAAGUCUCAGAGAUACUGUUAUUAGCAUAAAUGACUUUUGAGCAACCACUUAUAUUACAAAGGAAAUUCUUGUGUUAAUGCAAGUAGCCUUUAGCCUGUCCAUGGUUCUGAUCCUCUCAUUACUCUGUUUAGAACCCCAGCUGUGAAGCACCAUCUGUCAGCAGUAGCAGCAGCAUCUGUCUUUUUGUCAGUUGGCAUCUGGGUUAACUCUGGCAGAAUUUCCUAAAGGGCCUGAGGUGGGUGUGUGGCUUGAGGGAGCAGGCUCUGCCCCUGGUGCCUUUAGUGAAAUAUUGUCUGCCCUUUUCAGCAUGAAACCACUCAUGCUUGUGUGCCAAGUGCUUGCUUUUCACAAGCUGGGGGACUCUUAGAUUUCUUGCAUUCCAUAGUGCACUAAAUCUUACUUGCUAAUCUUUCUUUUCCACUCAUAAUAAUGUUGUCAUACAAUGAAACUUGAGCAAAUGCCCAUUUGAGAGACUCAGGGUAGGAUUUUGUGCUUUCGUUUUAAUUCAGCUGAAGACAAUGUUGGGAUAUCUGCUGGCUUAAAUGUUACUCUCUCCUUCUUCCCCCUCCCCAAUUCGCAUGCUUGCUGAAACACCGGAAUGUGAUCUUAUAGGAUUGCUACAGAUGUAUUUGGUUAGGAUGAAGGCGUACUGAGCAGGGUGGCCCUCAAUCCAGUAUGACUGCUGUCCUUGUAAGAAGAGACGCAAAGUCACACAGAGGGAAGACAGCUGUGUGAUGGCUGAGGCAGAGACUGGAGUUCUUCUGCCACAAGCCAGGAAAUGCCUGGGAUUGCUGGCAGCCACGGGAAGCUAGGAAAGAAGCAAGGGGCAGGUUGUCUCUCAAUCUCUUGGGAAGAGCAUAACUCUUUUAACACUGUGAUUUCUGACUUCUAGCUUCCAAAAUCACCCAUGAGGUGAUACAUUUCUGUGAUUUUAAGCUGCUAGUGGAUGGAGAUUUGUUAUAGCCACUCUAGGAAACAAAUACAGAGCACUUUCCAGGAUGUCAUUGCUGGGAAUCCGUGUGCAUUUUCAAAGUUCUGAUGACACACUCUACAGAUAGCCUUUGUAUAAAGAUUCUCUUUUUGGGUGCCCAAGAAUGGCAUAGAGUUAUGGAACAUUGUGGAACUAGGGAUUUUCCAUUGGGAAAAAAUUUUAAGUUUAUUCAUGCAGUCAGCCAUAGGUAAUAAGACCUCAUAAUGUGCGAAGCUCAGUGUUUCUUUUGGGGGAUAUGCAAGAGGGCUUCAAAAAGUUUGUGGAAAAUGGAAUUAAAAGCCCAUUUGAAGUUUCCUUGAACUUUUGGAAGACUCUUCAUGGCAGCCAACAAAGCUGAUGAGGGAUGAAACCUCUUAGUGAUAACCGUUCAGUGAUGAAGACAGACCUGAGCUUGCUUGUUUCCAGCCAACCGUAUUUGUAUCAUUGUGCAAAAUCAGUCAUACUAAGCAGCAAAAAUCUCUGGGCCAAACACUGAACCAAUCUGUGAUCUUGGACAGGUUUUAUCUUUGAACCUCACAUGUCCUACUCCAGAAAAAGAGGAAUAGAAUACUUAACAAAAUAAAAAAUCAGCAUUUGAGAAUAUUGCUUAAUGAUCCUGGUGAAGAGCUUAAUACCGCAUAUAUGUUUAAUUCUAUUCAUGUGUCUGUAUUUUAUGUCCUCAGUCCAGUAUAGACUGUCUUGCCUUUUCUAGUUUGAAUUAUAAUUCUUUGUAAUAGGUUUAGCAUGUAUUCAUUUAAUUAUAUUAUUAAUUAACAAUAUUAUUAGGGAGUUUGAUUAGCAGCUAACAUUUAGUGUUUAUUAUAUUCAGAUGCCAUUACAGGCAAUCUAUUUAGCUCAUUUUUUUUUCUCUCAGUCCUACAAAUCUAUCUUCACUUUCAACCCAUUUUAUAGAUGAAGACAGUGAAAUAUUGGGGGAACUUCCUGAAAGUUGAUCAUUUUGCCUGUGACAUUGUUAGGAUUCUGGCCCGAGAAGCCUGACCUCUGGCUCCGUGCCCUCAAAGGCAGCAGGUGGUAUAUUUGCACACGCCGACCAUCCUGCUACCUUCCUAGGUUUAAGAGGACUGUGUGCAAGUCAUGACCCUUCAUCUCUUUUUAUUAGUAAUCUCAGCCUCUAUGAACGAUGCAGACAUUUUUAAAGAUUUUUUUUUUAAUUGAAUUACAGAGAGAGAAGGACACACACACACACACACACACACACAUCUUCCAUUCUCUGGUUCACACUCCAAAUGGCCACAAUAGCCAGGGCUGGGCCAAGCUGAAGCCAGGAGCCUGGAGCUUCUUUCGUGUCUCCCACAUGGGUGCAGGGGCCCUAGCACUUGGGCCAUCUUCCACUGCUUUUCCAGGUUCAUUUUCAGGGAGCUGGGUCAGAAGUGGAGUGGCUGGGACAUGAACCAGCACCCAUAGAAGAUGCGGCAUUACAGGUGAUGAUGUAAUCCACUACACCACAAUGCCAACCCCAGAAAAUAUUGGUUUAAUUGAGAUUUGUGAAAGAGAGUGCUGCUGGGAUGAUAAAUAAUGACUGUAAGCUAAUGGGACUUGAAUGAUUAGCUCUUUGUCCUUCAGGAUCAUGUGUGGUUAUGCCAGGGUUGGCAAUUCACCCUUUAGCAUGGCUUAUAUAGUGUUGGAGUGGGGAGUCCCUUACAGCACUAUUUCACUUGAGACAAAAGUUUGUGCCUUUUCUACCCAGAAAGUGGCAAGUCACCAUAUAGAGGAGAAAGGGGAAGCCCACGUGUAUCUCUUGACAAACAGAGUUUUGAGGCAGGUGUAUUUAGAUCCCAGUGCUCUGCAUCAGUCCCAUUAGUGUCUGUGACAUCUGCUGUCUUGCUGUUCUGGAUCCACAGGGACCCACAACACUGGCCGCCAGCCCUACCUGGAGCUAACACAGUGCACUGUGAAAUCAUUUCCUUCCAUUCCAUUCCCCCAAGUCCGCAGCUCUCUGCCCACCCUGGCUGCUGCAGCAGGGUUUUCAUUGGCCUUCCAGGAGAUGCUGGCUCAGUCAUGAGCUGUCACGCUUCUCUCUGGAAAGAACUCUGUACUUUGUCUUCUCUAGUCAUAGUGCUCAGGAUUGGAUUCUGGCUAGAAGCAAUAAGCAAAAAGCAAUCACAAAUGAGCAUCCUGUCAUUGCAGCACCAUUCACAGUAACCAAAAGGUGGAACCACACCAAGUAUCCAUCAUCAGGCGAAUGAUUAACCAUGUAGCGUAAAUGCAUGAUGGAAUACUGUACAGCCACAAAAAAGAAUGAGGCCUGAUACACCAACCGAAUGUACCCUGAAAACAUCAUUUUAAGUGAAAUAAGCCAGACACAAAAAGACAAAUAACAUAUGAUUCCACUUACAUGAAAUGUCGACAUGGGGAAUUCAUGGAGACUGAAAGCAGAUGAGAGGUAGCAAGAAUUAGAAGGAGGAGGAGAAGCAGGGCUUGAAUGCUUAAUGGUUACAGAGAGCUUCCAUUUGUGUGGUUGAAAACAUUUUAGGAGUAGAAAGUGGCAAUGGUUGUAACAUUGUGCUGCCAUUAAUGCUCCUGAUUUGGACAUACAUAUGGCUAAAAUGACAAAUUUAUGUUUUUAUAUAUAGAUAUGUAAUCACAAUUAAAAUAUGAUUUUAAAAAGCCUAAAACCCUCAACCCAGUCUUGUUUUUAUUUAUUUUAUUUUAAAAAUUGAUAUAUAUUAAUUGUACAUACUUGAGGAGAACAAUGUGCUAUUUGUGUGCAUAUACAUAAUUUGCAGUGAUCAGAUUAGGGUAAUUAGCAUAUAUAUCACCCCAGACAUCUAUCAUUGUUUUGGGAACAUUCAAAAUACUCUCUUUUAGCUAUUUUGAAAUAUUGAAGUAAUGAUUGCUAGUCACAGCUAUUCUGCUGUGUUAUAGUUAGUCCUGUCCAUCUACUGUAUUCUUGUACUAUUAGCCAUCUUCUAUUCUUACCUCCCUUCUCCUAAACCCCUCCCCAACACACAUGCCCUUCCCAGCCUCUGGUAACCACUGUUCUAUAUCCUACUUUUGUUAAAAUCAGCUCUUCAUUCCAUAUAUUGGUGAAAUGUGUGUUAUUUGUCUCCCUGUGCCUGACUUGUUUCACUUAAUACAAUGUCCUUCAGCUGCAUCCAUGUUGCUUCCAGUAACAGAAUUUCAUUCAUAUUUAUGGCUGAGUAAUAUUUUUGUGUUUACUUGUACAUUUUCUUUAUUAAUUUAUCUGUUCACAGACCAGGCCUUGCUUCUGCAGGACUUCACUUUGUGGCUUGGCAGUGUUGCACUUGCUGAACUAUGUCCUAGGCUUUCCUUAAGGUGGAUCUAAAUCUCAUUGGAAUGGCAGCUUCUUAGGGGAAGAGACUCAGUGCCAGGUGCAGUGCUGAGCCAUGGAAUGAAGCAUGUGCUAAUUUACUGUAUUUUGUUUGAUAGCCAUGCCCUGGAUUGCUUUGAUUGUGGAUGUGUGUAUCUGGCUCAGUGGCUCUGAUGUGAUUUGGGAAAAUGAAAUAGAAGGCAAGUUUCAGACAUUCAAUGGCUAUGGAGGAAAAGAAAAACAUGAUUCUAACAGUUCUACUUCAUUUCCAUCAUCCCCUUCUUCUCAGCUCUUGCUUCCAAUUUUGCAGCAGCCUAAAUCAAAGAACAGGAGAAGCAAAAAUAAAAUACAUUAUUUGGUGGUUUUCAUUUAUAGUGAGGUGAAACAGAAGGGUUAGGAUCCUGUUCCUCCUCCUUUCAAUCAACUUCAAGACCUCCAGGGCUGGAGAAGUCAUCUGUUACAUCGCUACCAUUUGUCCAGAAAGAACUAACAUGAUUUUAUAAUAUGUUUCAGUUUGUUUCCAAAAAAAAAAACCCAAUAUGCACUUGGACCAGGGAUAAAGUGAAUGUUCUAUGAAAUAGCUAAUAUUAUUAUUCUGUAUGUACAAACAUGUAAACUGUGGGUCAAAGUAGAAAAAAAGACUGUCUCAAGAUAAUAAUUGGGAGAAUAAUAGUGAGUUCAGCAUACAAAUAUGACCCAUAUCUCCCUUAAUCUAAUUCUGAGAUGGGGAAUAAAUUCUCUUUCCUUUGGUAUGGGCGUUUAAUAUUAUAUAAGGCUGUCUUAGUGUACCAGCACUGGGUUUAAGGUAAAGUAGACAGAAGCAGGAAAUAUGGGGCUGAGGCCACCUCAUGGGUCCCCUUGCUUGAGGACUUCAUGUUGGAAGUCUGCAGCUGGAGUCUGUGAUGAAUGCAGUGUGUACAAUCUGGAAUUGAUAGAGUGAAUCAAUUUUGAAGGAGGCUUCUUGGAUUCUUAAGGAUGUUAGAAAUCAUAAGAUCCCAUUGAUUCAAUUUUGUUCUGCUGUUGAUUGAUCUCUUCUAUUACACUAUUUUACCUUGUUUGUGUUAUAAUAAAUCACCAUGGAGAAAUUCUGACUUUCUUGUUUUAAGUAGCUGCUUUUACAAAAGCAACCUGGGUACUAGCAAUGAGCAAAGAGAAGAAAUUUAGUUUUUAAUUUUACAUAUGGGAAUCUAUAAAUUAAAAUAACUUUAAAACUUUCACUAAUAGCAUCUCAAUUAAUGAUCAUUCUCUUUAUCUUCAAAUGUUAGAAAAACCUGGCACACUCUAGCAGCCAUCCUAAAGGCAUACCUGAUUGGAACAAAAGACCACUGCAUUGUUCUGUUAAUGUUACUGGACAAAUAGUGUGACCCACGUGACCAAAACGAUGGCUCCACCCUACUGAUUGUUUUCAUAGUGCAAUCUUCAAUCUUGUGCUUAUGUCCUAACCUAUUACAGAUAACAUUCACCCACCUUGCACCUUAGUUCCCUUGCUUGGAUGUUUACUUGUAUUUAAUAUCUAAUUUUUACUAAGUUGUUGUUUGUACCUUUAGCCCACUCAGGUGAAAAUUAGCUAUUACUUUCUUAAAUCCAUUAGGCACAGUUAUAAUAUGUGAAAAGCCCCUUUUGGGGCUAGCUAUUGGCCAAAUAAUAGUUUCAGGUAGGCAAAGUAGAGACAAGAAUUGUCAACCUUGUUUAUACUUGAAGGAUUUUUAUUAUAUAUAUGAAACAUGCAAAAUUUAACUUCUUUGCAUAUAAAAUAUUUCUUUACUUUUUGUUGUUGUUAUUUGUUGAAUUCCUUGCUCCUAGCUUUGGCCUGGCCCAGCUAGGGGAGGAAACCAGUGGAUGGGAGCUCUGUCUGUCUGUCUAUCUGUUUGUCAUGUUCUUUCUGUCCCUUAAGUUAAAAAAAUAAUAAAAAUAAAAAUGUUUCACUUGUCUAAGGAUGCACAGUGGAGGUUCAUGGAGGGUGAUCAAUCUUGCCAAUUUUGUUUAUGAAGAAGAUAUAUACACACAACACACAACAGGUAUAUAGCAUAUCUUUGGUAUUAUAGUUUCACUGGACAAGGUAGGGGGUAAUUAGGAAAAAGUCAAAAAUUUUUCAUUAUCAGGGCAAUAAUGAAAGAAAUUGUGAAACACAGUCUUAGGCAUAAUGGGUAUUUAAUAGAAUGGAGCAGUUAAAGAAUGUAUUAGGGUACACAACACAAUAUUUGUGUGUACUCAAUGUGAACUACUAUUAUAAACAACAUAACAAGAGUGUGUGUUUCCUCAACCUUAUUCCCUUUCUUCAUAGAACAGCAUCUCCUAUAAUGAAGUUGGUGGCCCCUUGAAGGGUCCGUACACAUGUUCUUAGGCAUGUCCAAGAGUCUUCUAUGAAAUCUGUUGUUUCAUUUCAUGCUUUCAUUUUGAUUAUAAUGUUUAUUAGGAUUUGUUUCAUUUAUUUGAAAGGCAGAGCUACCUAGAGAAAGAGAGGGAGAGACAAAGAGAGAUCUUCCAUCUGCUGGUCUAAUCCCCAAAUGGCCUCAAUGGCUGGGGUGGGCCAAGUGAAAGCCAGGAGUCAGGAGCCUCCUCUGGGUCCCUGACGUGGGCAUAGGGACCCAAACACUCAGACUGACCUACACUGCCCACGCAGGUACAUCAGCAGGGAGCUGGAUUGAAAGUGGAGCAGCCAGGACUUGAACCGGCACCCAUAUGUGGCAUAACCUACUAUGCCAUGGCACAGGCUCGAUGAUCAACUUAAAGUGGAUGUUCCCACAUAAAGAAAUGAUAAAUAUUUAAAGUGAUGCAUAUACUGAUAACUGAUAUAAUAAUUGCACAUCACAUAUAAGUAUUGAACUAUCAUACUGUACCCUGUAAAUAUGCAGUUAUUAUGUGUCAAUUAACAUUUUUUAAAAGUUAAAGAGAAGAAAUUGUAUCCUGGUUUCCUUUUACAACAGAAUUCUGCCACAGAUUUCAUUAUCCGCUGUUCCCUUGCCUUAGAGGAAGGAGAUCUGUGUAGAUGUUGGACUGACAAAAAAGAAAAAAAAAACAAACAGACUUUACAAUGUGAAUGAGGAGCAGGAGCUUGGCAAAGCAGGUAAGAAGCCUCUUAGGAUGCUGCGUCCCAUGUUGGCGUCCUUGGGUCUGAGACCCAGUCAGAUCCACCUUCCUCUAGUGCACACCCAGGGAGGCAGCAGUGAUCUCUCUAGGACUUGAAUCUCUGACUCUCACAUGGGAGACACAGAUUGGAUUCCUGGCUCCUGGCUUUGGCCUGCCCCAGCCCUGGCUAUUGUGGUCAUCUGGGGGAUGAACCAGGAGAUGAAAUACUACACUUCAACCCCUCUCUGUUUCUCUGCCUUUCAAAUAAAUAAAAUUUUUAAAAGUGCAAAUGAUGCAGUUGGACUAGUUGAGGAACAGAUAACUGAUGCGUCAUCUUAUCACAGGAGGGAAGGACUCUGACUACAGAUGGAGGACAGUGGUGAGCAGAGUGAGUCCUCACCUGACUAAGGUACAGGAUGUCCUAAAACCAAGAGGAUGUUGGCUUUAGCAGUCAGUAUUAUAUUUAAGUUUUGAACAGCAGUUUAAUCUCAGCAAAAAUAACAUCAGCUACCUUAUUAAAUUAAUGCUGUUAAUUUGAAUGUUAUGGGUUUUGUUGUUUUUGUGUUUGCUAUUUUGUUUUAGUUUUAUUGUUGAAUUGGAGUUAGAGCAUAUGGAGUUUAUUUCUGGUUUUCUACUGGCACAUUGCUAAGCUUCAAAACAAUAAAAACCAAUAUAAUAUAUUUGGUGGUGCAAAGUAAAUUUUUGGCCUUAUUAAAGGGAACGUUUGUUUGACUCAGAUUUGAGAAGUUGUGUCAUGAGCCUAUAGAAUCUUAGACUAAUCUGAGCUGCCAGGAUCACUUAGUCCAGUCACAUCCCGUAACACAUGUAGAUACUGAACAUCCAGGGGGACAAGUAAAAACCCAAGGUCAAAAAAGCAAGGGAGUGGGGGCACUGUAGCACAGCAGGUUAAGCCUCCACCUGUGAUGCCAGCAUCCCAUAUGGGUGCCAGUUCAAGACCCGGCUGCUCCACUUCCAAUCCAGCUCUCUACUAAUGUACCUGAGAAAAUGGCCCAAGUAUUUGGACCCCUGCACCCAUGUGGGAGACUGAAGAAGCUGUAGGAUUCUGGUUCAGCUUGGCUCACUCCAGCCAUUGAGA